CUCAUUUCCCCAGUUCUUCAUUUCCCAAGCCGACUCUUCGUUUCCCCAGUUCUUCAUUUCCUCAAAACCAAUAGCUCUUCGAUUUCUCCAAUGCCGCUUCGGCUUCCAGAGAAUUCGUGCUCCUCUUCGUCUCAUCUUUUCAAACGUAUUCACUUUGAUCUACACAAACCUCCUCUCCUCUUCGUCUCAUCUUCUUCUUCAUCCUCACUCACUUCAAGAAAUCUAACAGAGGGGAGAAAACCCUAACCCUAGCUUUAAUCCAAACCCUAAUGGCGACGGCUCCCAUCUACGGCUCCUCUCUCGAGGAGGCCGAGCUCCGAAUCAAAAACCUAAAAUCCAAGUUCGCUGAAUUAUUCGACGGCGAUCAGCCUGAUCUUUUCGCUAGAUCUCCAGGGAGAGUGAAUUUGAUCGGUGAGCAUAUUGAUUAUGAGGGGUACUCGGUGUUGCCGAUGGCGAUUCGGCAGGAUACGAUUGUAGGGAUCAAGAAGAGGAGCGAUUCGAAGCCGCUGUUGAGAAUUGGGAAUGUUAAUGAUAAGUAUAGCUUGUGUACCUAUCCUGCUGAUGCUAAUCAGGAAAUUGAUUUGAAGAAUCACAAAUUGGGGCAUUAUUUUAUUUGUGGUUACAAGGGAUUUUAUGAGUUUGCUAAAGCGAAAGGAUUCGAUCUGGGCGCACCCGUCGGCCUUGAUGUAGUUGUUGAUGGGAUAGUUCCUACAGGAUCUGGACUCUCAAGCUCAGCAGCAUUUGUAUGCUCUGCCACAAUUGCUAUAAUGGCUGCUUUUGAUGCAAAGUAUCCAAAGAAAGAAAUUGCUCAACUUACAUGUGAAUGUGAACGCCACAUUGGAACACAGUCUGGCGGGAUGGAUCAGGUUGUACUUUCUGUCAUGUACUAAGCGAGGUCGACACGCUUUGGUUUUAUGAAGAGUUGAACUUUUAACCUUCUCUUCUUUUGCGUGCUUGGGUGGAAGUGGUACUAGGAUGAGCGACCUCUAGGAAGUCCUUGCUCGGGAGGAUUUAGCAGGGGUUAAAAUUCUUCAUGGUCUUGAUUACUAAUUCCGUGAAAUCCACCACUCAUAAAUUGUUGAUACUUUUCUUUCUUCUGGGGAAAAUACAUAUGACAAUCUUAGUCUAGCAGUAAUGAUUUCAUUGAAUCUUGAUGUAAAGUCUGUUUGAUGUACAUUGAUAUAUCCACCAAUCAAUACAAUUUUAUUGAAUCAUAAGGUAAAGUCUUCUAUA